rnacentral:rRNA from 1 species
CAGCCGUAAACUAUGCGCGUUAGGUGUACUGGUGACCACGAGUCACCGGGGUGCCGAAGGGAAACCGUGAAACGUGCCGCCUGGGAAGUACGGUCGCAAGGCUGAAACUUAAAGGGAAUUGGGCGGGGGAGCACCACAACGGGUGGAGCCUGCGGUUUAAUUGGACUCAACGCCGGAAAUCUCACCGGAUAGGACAGACAUAUGAUAGUCGGGCUGAAGACUCUACUUGAUGAUCUGAGAGGUGGUGCAUGGCGUCAGUGACU